rnacentral:rRNA from 1 species
UACGGGGGGGGCAAGCGUUGUUCGGAAUUACUGGGCGUAAAGGGCGCGUAGGCGGUGCUUUAAGUCGGAUGUGAAAACUCUGGGCUCAACCCCAGAGCCUGCAUCCGAAACUGGAGUGCUAGAGUUCUGGAGGGGGUAGCGGAAUUCCUGGUGUAGCGGUGAAAUGCGUAGAUAUCAGGAGGAACACCGGUGGCGAAGGCGGCUACCUGGACAGAAACUGACGCUGAGGCGCGAAAGCUAGGGGAGCAAACAGG